rnacentral:rRNA from 1 species
GCUGGCGGCGUGCUUAACACAUGCAAGUCGAACGGUGAAAGCGGAGCUUGCUCUGCUGGAUCAGUGGCGAACGGGUGAGUAACACGUGAGCAAUCUGCCCCUGACUCUGGGAUAAGCGCUGGAAACGGCGUCUAAUACUGGAUACGAGCUGCGAAGGCAUCUUCAGCAGCUGGAAAGAACUUCGGUCAGGGAUGAGCUCGCGGCCUAUCAGCUUGUUGGUGAGGUAACGGCUCACCAAGGCGUCGACGGGUAGCCGGCCUGAGAGGGUGACCGGCCACACUGGGACUGAGACACGGCCCAGACUCCUACGGGAGGCAGCAGUGGGGAAUAUUGCACAAUGGGCGCAAGCCUGAUGCAGCAACGCCGCGUGAGGGACGACGGCCUUCGGGUUGUAAACCUCUUUUAGCAGGGAAGAAGCGAAAGUGACGGUACCUGCAGAAAAAGCGCCGGCUAACUACGUGCCAGCAGCCGCGGUAAUACGUAGGGCGCAAGCGUUAUCCGGAAUUAUUGGGCGUAAAGAGCUCGUAGGCGGUUUGUCGCGUCUGCUGUGAAAACCCGAGGCUCAACCUCGGGCCUGCAGUGGGUACGGGCAGACUAGAGUGCGGUAGGGGAGAUUGGAAUUCCUGGUGUAGCGGUGGAAUGCGCAGAUAUCAGGAGGAACACCGAUGGCGAAGCAGAUCUCUGGGCCGUAACUGACGCUGAGGAGCGAAAGGGUGGGGAGCAAACAGGCUUAAAUACCCUGGUAGUCCACCCCGUAACGUUGGGAACUAGUUGUGGGGUCCAUUCCCGGAUUCCGUGA